AUACAGUAAAAAAUAAAAUAAAAAAGGAACCUAAAACUUUACAGGUGGUGUUCAAAAAAAAAAAACAAGGGGCUUGUUAAACAAAGAACAUACCAGACCCAUCCUCUUUCCAUCCGUUCCAGAAAGAAAGAAGCAAAGAAAUUGCUCUAUUAUCUUCUCCGUUUCAAGGCAAACCAAUUGAAGGCAAGUAAGAAAAGAAAGGUUCUAGUUGGGAAAAUAGUAAAGCACCAAGCUAAAGGUAAAAAUAUUCUUAACCUUUAAAGUUAAAGAAAUUGGUUUAUAUCUAAUUUCUUGUAAUUGCAUGUUUGGAUUGUGGCAUGUUUGAUUGAGAAUCAAAUGGAUUAAGGAGUUAUAAAGAUGGAUUAGUAUGGAGAUCGGAUGUUAACAUGUUAAAAGUAACAUGAAAUUUGAGUUUUUAAAACUUUGCGCACCACUUGUUUGAUAAAAUGUAAUGAUGAGAUUAAUUAAUGAAAUGAUUGAGAAAGGAUUCCCAACUACAACAUAUAUCUUUAACAUACUUAUAUGUACCUGUGGAAAGGCAGGCUUAGCUAGGAAAGUUGUAGAGAGAUUUAUUAAGUUGAAGACAUUUUAUUAUAGACCAUUCAAGCAUUCCUUUAAUGCAAUGAUAUACUCCCUUCUUACUGUAAAAUAAUAUAAGUUGGUUGUGUGGUGAUAUAAGGAAGUUAAAAUGGACUAUUAUGGACUAACUAUGGACUGUUUUGGAACUUUUGUGGUUUUGAUUCAUGUCUGAAAUUUAAGUUCUGUAGUAGUAUGUUAUACUCCUAUGAGCUAUGAAAAUAACCCAAUUGGAACGAAGUAAAAAUGAGCUCAAACGAAUUUAUAGUGAAUGUUUUGGUAAAACAUGUUAAAAACUAAGAAAAAUUGGAUGAACAGUGACUAUAGUGUCAAAUUCUGGAAUAGCUAUGUUGCCUGAAAAAUUCUGAGUUUCUGGGUAGUUGUAGUGCACUGAGUUAGGAAGCCAUAGGCUUUGGAAUGACCUCAUUCUGACCUCGGAUGAGGGAGUUAUGAUGAUUGGAAGGAAAUGUGUCGAAUUUGUCAAACUGGAAGUCAGCAGUGGGACGUGCUAUUCGGGACACUGUUUCAAUCAGUUAAUGUUUCCAGAAAAUUCUGGGCUUUCGGUAUGUUAUAGUACACUGAAUAAGCUUUCCAUAGACUCCAAAACGGACUAAUUCCGACUUCAGAGAAAAGAGUUUUGACCAUUUUAGGGAAGGAGGGUCGUGCAGUCUAAAAAUAGAACAUUCUGUCCACUUAGAACAGAUUUCUGUUCUGUUCGGUUUAGAAAUUGGAUUUGUGAUCUGAAGAGAAGUUUUAGUCCCAGAAGUUAGCUUCGCGUGGGCUCAAGAAUCGCUCAAAAAUAUUUUGAAACGAAAAAGUUAUGACAGUUUUAGCGAGAGAGGGUAAAGCCGAAAUGAAAGUGAAAAAACUGUUAUGAAUGUACACUUUUGGCGCUCUAUUUGGGCUGCCUAAUGAACCCGAAAUGAGGGUUUCAUAUUUUUUAAAAAUAGUCUCAUAUGAUACGAAAAACAUACUGAAAUUUGGGAAUUUUCUGAUAAGCGAGCAAGGCGUGAGAAAAUCGCAAAGUGGCUCAUUCGUUAUGCAAGGCAGCAGCCAGCGCUGUGCCAGCCGCACCGCGCGCGCACGCCGCGCCGUGCUGCUGGUGCAGUCGCUUGGCGGGCUUUUUGAGCGCUGUUUUGAUCAAUGUUUGUAACUUGUUUUCGCGUUUAGAAAAUUUUUAAAUGUACUAUGUCAUAAGGUCUAUAACAUACUAGAAAAUCGCCACGAUUCGAUUAAUGGUUUAAGAAUUAAAAAUAGGUGAACAUGCAUGUCAGAACUACAAUUUGGGCGACGCCGAAUGUAGUCAUAAUGAGCUGUUUUGACAUUCGUCGUUGCAAAGUGUGUUUGGACUAAAUUUAAAACAAUAUUAUAUCUAAUAAAGUUCCAAGAGAAGAGAUUUGACUGUGUGAUAUUUUACGUUAUGAAACUUCCUUUCGGACAUAAAUAAUGCAAUAAAAAUAUUAUAUAUAUAAAUAUGAAUUUGCAUAUUUAAGCGAAUGUAAGCCGGAAUUGACAUGAAAAAUGGUUUUAUAACGAAACGAAAAAUAUGGAACCAUUAAAAAGUUGUAAUAAUCAUAAAAGUGAUGCAAUGAAGAUUUGAGGGAUCAAAAUGGAGUUUUUGAGCCAAGAUGUAUAUACUUAAUAUAUAAAUAUAUAUAGUGAAAAUGUGAAUAUUUGCAAAACGAAAAAUACAGCAAGUGUUUUAGCGGGAUAGAAUGUUUAUAAAUGAGACAAUGGUCCNNNNNNNNNNNNNNNNNNNNNNNNNNNNNNNNNNNNNNNNNNNNNNNNNNNNNNNNNNNNNNNNNNNNNNNNNNNNNNNNNNNNNNNNNNNNNNNNNNNNAGACUAUAGAAGACUUAAAUUGGGUGACCAACUUAUAAGAAAUUGAAAGUGGCUUUUAUAUAAGCAAAAAUCAAAAUUUACCUAUAUUCAUUAGCCAAAUUGGCUAAGUUUAGAUAGAGAGAGAGAAAAGAGAGAAGAGAGAAGAGAGAAGAGAGAAGAGAAAAGAGAGGAGAGAAGAGAAAAGAGGAACAAUUUAUUAAAGGGGAUGAGAUAAUUAAAAUUGAUGAUACAAAUGAUUUUAUUCAUUAAUUAAAAUAAUUUAUAAAGUUAAAUUAUUUUAAUAUAAGGAAGUUAUUGCAUUGCGUAUAUUAUCUUAUUUUAAUUAAAAAAAAAUAAGAUAGUAUAAAUGGAGAAUUUUAAAAUAAUUUAUAAAGGUAAAUUAUUUUAAAGGGAAAAUUAUUACAUUAAAUAUUAUUUCCAUUUGUAUGGAAAAGGAUUUUUUUUAAUAUGUAGUAUAUUAAAAUAAAUAUAGUAUGGGUAUUAUAUAAUAUAUUACAUGAAUAUAUGCUGUGAGAGGAAGUCAGGGUAUUAUAUUACAUAGAGAGAUGAACUUUAUGGGAUAUUGAAUAUAAGGCAUACAGUAAAAAAAAAAGGAAGCUAAAACUUUACUGGAGGUGUUCAAAAAAAAAAAACAAGGAAGAGGCUUGUUAAACAAAGAACAUACCAGCCCCUCCUCUGACCCAUCACCUUUCCUUCCGUUCCAGAAAGAAAGAAGCAAAGAAAUUGCUCUAUUAUCUUCUCCGUUUCAAGGCAACCCAAUUGAAGGCAAGUAAGAAAAGAAAGGUUCUAGUUGGAAAAAUAGUAAAGCACCAAGCUAAAGGUAAAAAUAUUCUUAACCUUUAAAGUUAAAGAAAUUGGUUUAUUUCUAAUAUCUUGUAAUUGCAUGUUUGGAUUGUGGGAGUAUAUUUGAUUGAGAAUCAAAUGGAUUAAGGAGUUAUAAGGAUUGAUUAAUAUGGAGAUCGGAUGUUAACAUGUUAAAAGUAACAUGAAAUUUGAGUUUUAAAACUUUGUGCACCACUUGUUUGAUAAAAUGCAAUGAUAAGAUUAGUUAAUGAAAUGAUUGAGAAAGGAUUCCCAACUACAACAUAUAUCAUUAACAUACUUAGAUGUACCUGUGGAAAGGCAGGCUUAGCUAGGAAAGUUGUAGAGAGAUUUAUUAAGUUGAAGACAUUUCAUUAUAGACCAUUCAAGCAUUCCUUUAAUGCAAUGAUAUACUCCCUUCUUACUGUUAAAUAAUAUAAGUUGGUUGUGUGGUGAUAUAAGGAAGCUAAAAUGGACUUAUUAUGGACUAACUAUGGACUGUUUUGGAACUUUUGUGGUUUUGAUUCAUGUCUGAAAUUUAAGUUCUGUAGUAGUAUGUUAUACUCCUAUGAGUUAUGAAAAUAACCCACUUGGAACGAAAUAAAAAUGAGCUCAAACGAAUUUAUAGUGAAUGUUUUGGUAAAACAUGUUAAAAACUAAGAAAAACUGGAUGAACAGUGACUAUAGUAUCAAAUUCUGGAAUAGCAAUGUUGCCUGAAAAAUUCUGAGUUUCUGGGUAGUUGUAGUGCACUGAGUUAGGAAGUCAUAGGCUUUAGAAUGACCUCAUUCCGACAUCAGAUGAGGGAGUUAUGAUGAAUGGAAGGAAAUGUGUCGAAUUUGUCAAACUGGAAGUCAGCAGCGGGACGUGCUAUUUGGGACACUAUUUCAAUCAGUUAAUGUUUUCAUAAAAUUCUGGGAUUUCGGUAUGUUAUAGUACACUGAAUAAUCUUUCCAUAGACUCCAGAAUGGACUAAUUCCGACUUCGGAGUAAAGAGUUAUGAUCAUUCAAAGUAGUCGCGUCAAAACUGUCCAACCAAUUUCGACCAAUCCCCUUUGCACGAAAUUCUGGACUGAUGUGUUCGGAAUUUGGAAAAGGUCAGUAAGUAAUAGUUGUAGCCCCAGAAGUUAGCUUCACGUGGGCGCAAGAAUCACUCAAAAAUAUUUUGAAACAAAAAAGUUAUGACUGUUUUAGCGAGAGAGGGUAAAGCUGAAAUUAAAGUUAAAAUUGUUAUGAACGUACACUUUUGGCGCUCUGUUUGGACUGCGUAACAAAUCCGAAAUGGGAGUUUGAUAUUUUUUAAAAAUAGUCUCAUAUGAUAAGAAAAACAUACUGAAAUUUAGAAUUGAUCCGAUAAACGAGCAAGGUGUGAGAAAAUCGCAAAGUGUCUCAUUCGUUAUGCAAGGCAGCAGCCAGAGUUGUGCCAGCCGCGCCGUCUGUUGGUGCAGUCGCUUGGCGGGCUUUUUGAGCGCUGUUUUGAUCAAUGUUCGUAGCUUGUUUUCGCGCUUAGAAAAUUUUUAAAUGUACUAUGUCAUAAGGUCUAUAACAUACUAGAAAUUCGCCACGAUUCGAUUAAUGGUUUAAGAAUUAAAAAUGAGUGAAGAAGCAUGUCAGAACAUGAAAACGGGCGACGCCGAGCAUAUUUUGACGUUCGGCAUAUUCCGAAUCUUGUUUGGGCUAGAUUUUAAGCGAUGUUAAGUCUAAUAAAGUCUCAAGAGAUAAGUUUUGACGUUAUGUGAUAAGUUAUGCCACGAAAACUCAAUACGGGCAUAAAUAAUGUAAUAAAAAUAUAAUGUAAAUAUAAAUUUACAUAUUUAAGAGAGAUAAGCCGAAAAUUGUAUGUGAAAAUGGUUUUAUAGCAAAACGAAAAGUAUAGAGACAUUAGAAAAUUGUAAUGAACAUAAAAGUGAUGAAAUUAAGGUUUUUUGAGUUCAAAAUGGCGAUUUUGAGCUAAGAUUUAUGUUAUGGCGUAUAUAUACAUAUAUUUAAUAUAUAUACGAAGCAAGGAUGUAAGUUAUUCAUAAAACAAAGUGCGAAACUAAUUUGCUAAUGAAAUAGAAUGUCUGUGUAUGAGGCAAUGUGUCGAGUUAACUUGUGAGCUAUGAUCAAAAAGGUAUAAAAAUAAUGUAAAUAAAGGAAAUGAUAUAGUAAGCCGUGCUUUACUGUAAAAGGUAUAAACUAAUCAUUUAAAUCUCGAAUUUGCGAAUAAAAGCAAAAGAUAUUUCUAAAAUGAGGUAUAGAUGGUUUGAACUUCAAGAAUGUGAAAUGUUUACAUACUAAUGAUAUGAGAGACCUUUAUUUGGUGUAAAAAGGUUAAAACGAAUUAAGUUUCUAAAUAAACUAAUAUUCGUUUUGAGUAAGAAUAAAUAAUAUUAGUUUGUAUAAAACUAAUAAUUAUUAUUGAUGAAUAUACAUGCAUGUUUUUUAACAUAUUCAAUUAUCUAAUACGUGUGUACAUGUAAAUAUAAUUAUGUAGGAAUUGUGGAGAAACUCUAGGUUAACUUUUGUGGUAAUCUCCAAUCAAGGCAAUUUUUUCAGUUCUAUUAUGUUUGUGGAUUAAAUGUGAUUAUGUGGUGAGUUACAUACCAUGCUUUAUGAAUUGUUAAAGUCAAAAUAUGACUAAGUUAAUUGGGUUAUGGAACUCAAUUUAUAUGUGAUAUGUGAUAGCACAUGUUGUAUGAUGUAACUCGAUAAAUUAGAAAUGUAUACUGCAUGAAUGUAUGCUUUGUAAGGAAUUAUUGUUGCAUGUAGGAUAUGCACAGUAAAGAAUAUAUGUUGCAUGCAGAUAUGCAUAGUAAAAGAAAUAUAGUGCAUAUGGAAUUGUGUGCUAUGUGAAACAUGAUAGACUGUUAAAUUUGCUGGGAUUUCGAGCUCAAUCUUGCAAACACAAUUUUUUUGCAGGUUAAUGAUGUUAAGCAAUAUUACUUGCUAUACGGAUGAUGAAGAUUGAACGAUGUGCAAAAUGAAUAUAUUUCCUUGAAUUAGAAUGGUAUAAAUCUAUGAUUGAUAGUUUUGUCAAAUGUAAUUGGCAAUUAUGUAUAGUUUGAAAUGUGGAAUGUAUAAAGAAUGUUUAUUCUGAAAUGAGUAUAGAUAUGAUUCUAAAAUAAAUGAAUUAUCGAUAGAAAAGAUAUGAAGUAUUGAGACUUAAGUUUUUAAUACAUUUACAUGGAUUAUACAAAUCAUAUAAUAAAUAUGAUUCUAGUAGAAAGAAGAAUUGUAAAGGUUGCGAUUCAGGGAAUGAAUGAAUGGAAAG
rnacentral:lncRNA from 1 species